CAAAAAGUAGUUUAAGUUUAAAAUUCUGGUUUUGGGGGCCAGAGAUGAGUGUUUUCCUUUUUGA
rnacentral:tRNA from 1 species